AUGGGCUUUCCCAGGAUUCCCAGGUAUCUGUGGUUACCUCUGUGUGAACUGUAGCAAAGUUCUCCAAAAAGGAGGUUCACUGGGACAGAUCAAUGAUGUCAGAGAAGGACAGUCACAUCACUGCAGACUGUGAAGGGGCAGGUGGCAUCAAGGAUCUGCGUAUGGUGGAUGUUUCGGAUCGUGUCUGCUUCUCAGCACAUUAAAUAUCCUGAACAUAGGUAUGCAGACAAGAGCGAGUCCACACGAUGAGCCGGUGUUGCCUUGCAGCUGAUGAGCAAGUCUUGAGAAGUGAUCCUUUCUGCCUAAUAACCCUCUUCGUGCACUGUAGCAACAGUGGCUAACAGCUCUACAGAGAAGCAUGUGCUGUGCAUUUGCAUCUGUGUAGCAGAUAUGCAGAGCCGAGUCCUGCCAAAGCCUCUGGAAGUGUCACAUCUUACAUGGGUGUUGCAACUUCCUCUGCCUCUGCACAAGCCCUACCGCUCUUGAAUCCUUCCAGAGUUCUGCUAGCUUUUACACAUAUAAUUUAAUCCAGUGUUACUUCUCUGCCUGAAAGUACCCUGUGGAGUUCUGCUUACUGAGGGCUUCCUGUUGUAUCAGAGGUUGCAGCAAUAUGCCAGAGACCUUAGACUCUUCGGGAUGAAGCAACAGGUUGAGAGAGCUGAGAAAUUAAGACUGUGGGAAAAAAGAUGGCAAAGAUGAAACUUACCAAAGCUUAGCAUAAUUAGUUCUGCGACUGGGAAUAGCUAUCAGCUCAGCAAGUUAUGCAAAAUAAAUCCUGAACCCAUGUACCUUUGCUUUCUGAAUGCCCUAUCUGAAUCAUCUUAAGGCUGAUUUAAUGAAUUAUUUAGCUGUAUUUAGUAGAUACUUCUCAGCUGUUGGCAAUCACAAAAACCACACAUCUAUCCC